rnacentral:rRNA from 1 species
CCUACGGGAGGCAGCAGUGAGGAAUAUUGGUCAAUGGACGCAAGUCUGAACCAGCCAUGCCGCGUGCAGGAAGAAGGCUCUAUGAGUUGUAAACUGCUUUUGUACGAGGGUAAACGGAGACACGUGUAUCUGUCUGAAAGUAUCGUAAGAAUAAGGCACGGCUAACUCCGUGCCAGCAGCCGCGGUAAUACGGAGGAUUCAAGCGUUAUCCGGAUUUAUUGGGUGUAAAGGGUGCGUAGGCGGUCGGAUAAGUUAGAGGUGAAAUCCCGGGGCUCAACCUCGGGAUUGCCUCUGAUACUGUUCGGCUAGAGAGUAGGUGCGGUAGGCGGAAUGUAGGGUGUAGCGGUGAAAUGCUUAGAGAU